GAUGAACGCUGGCGGCGUGCCUAAUACAUGCAAGUCGAGCGAACGGACGAGAAGCUUGCUUUUCUGAUGUUAGCGGCGGACGGGUGAGUAACACGUGGAUAACCUACCUAUAAGACUGGGAUAACUUCGGGAAACCGGAGCUAAUACCGGAUAAUAUUUUGAACCGCAUGGUUCAAAAGUGAAAGACGGUCUUGCUGUCACUUAUAGAUGGAUCCGCGCUGCAUUAGCUAGUUGGUAAGGUAACGGCUUACCAAGGCAACGAUGCAUAGCCGACCUGAGAGGGUGAGCGGCCACACUGGAACUGAGACACGGUCCAGACUCCUACGGGAGGCAGCAGUAGGGAAUCUUCCGCAAUGGGCGAAAGCCUGACGGAGCAACGUCGCGUGAGUGAUGAAGGUCUUCGGAUCGUAAAACUCUGUUAUUAGGGAAGAACAUAUGUGUAAGUAACUGUGCACAUCUUGACGGUACCUAAUCAGAAAGCCACGGCUAACUACGUG
rnacentral:rRNA from 1 species